AGAGUUUGAUCAUGGCUCAGAACGUACGCUGGCGGCACGCCUAACACAUGCAAGUCGAACGAAGUAGCAAUACUUAGUGGCAGACGGGUGAGUAACAUGUGGGUAUCUACCCUUUGGCCUGGAAUAACACGAGGAAACUUGUGCUAAUACCGGAUAAGUCUUUACGGAGAAAGCUUUAUGCACCAUUGGAUGAGCCCGCACUUGAUUAGUUUGUUGGUAGGGUAAUGGCCUGCCAAGACUAUGAUCAAUAGCUGAUUUGAGAGGAUGAUCAGCCACAUUGGGACUGAGACACGGCCCAAACUCCUACGGGAGGCAGCAGUGGGGAAUCUUGCACAAUGGAGGAAACUCUGAUGCAGCGAUGCCGCGUGAGUGAAGAAGGCCUUUGGGUUGUAAAGCUCUUUCGUCGGGGAAGAAAAUGACUGUACCCGAAUAAGAAGGUCCGGCUAACUUCGUGCCAGCAGCCGCGGUAAUACGAAGGGACCUAGCGUAGUUCGGAAUUACUGGGCUUAAAGAGUUCGUAGGUGGUUGAAAAAGUUGGUGGUGAAAUCCCAGAGCUUAACUCUGGAACUGCCAUCAAAACUUUUCAGCUAGAGUAUGAUAGAGGAAAGCAGAAUUUCUAGUGUAGAGGUGAAAAUUCGUANAUAUUANAAAGAAUACCAAUUGCGAAAGGCAGCUU
rnacentral:rRNA from 1 species